AAGUCGUAACAAGGUUUCCGUAGGUGAACCUGCGGAAGGAUCAUUAUUAAAACAAUAAUCCAACCUUAAACCAAACCGAACUGUUCUUACGCUUAUUUGGCCGAUUAGAGGAUUCAUUUUCUCUUUUCUCCUUAUAAGUGCGUUUUUAAAACCAUUUUGAACUUAGUACUAAUUUAAUGUUCUCUACCCAACCUAAAAAAUUGGGAUUGAACGUUUUCUUUAAUGAAAACACAGAACAACUCUUAGCAACGGAUGUCUCGGCUCUCGU
rnacentral:misc_RNA from 1 species